rnacentral:rRNA from 1 species
AUUGAACGCUGGCGGCAUGCCUUACACAUGCAAGUCGAACGAAGUCUUCGGGCUUAGUGGCGGACGGGUGAGUAACACGUGGGAAUGUACCUUUUGGUUCGGAACAACUCAGGGAAACUUGAGCUAAUACCGGAUGAGCCCUUAGGGGGAAAGAUUUAUCGCCGAAAGAGCGGCCCGCGUUAGAUUAGCUAGUUGGUGAGGUAAAGGCUCACCAAGGCUACGAUCUAUAGCUGGUCUGAGAGGAUGAUCAGCCACACUGGGACUGAGACACGGCCCAGACUCCUACGGGAGGCAGCAGUGGGGAAUCUUGCGCAAUGGGCGAAAGCCUGACGCAGCCAUGCCGCGUGAAUGAUGAAGGUCUUAGGAUUGUAAAAUUCUUUUACCAGGGACGAUAAUGACGGUACCUGGAGAAAAAGCCCCGGCUAACUUCGUGCCAGCCGCCGCCGUAACAC